rnacentral:rRNA from 1 species
AACGAACGCUGGCGGCAUGCCUAUCACAUGCAAGUCGAACGAGAUCUUCGGGUCUAGUGGCGCACGGGUGCGUAACGCGUGGGAAUCUGCCCUUUGGUUCGGAAUAACAGUUGGAAACGACUGCUAAUACCGGAUGAUGACGAAAGUCCAAAGAUUUAUCGCCAGAGGAUGAGCCCGCGUAGGAUUAGCUGGUUGGGGUGGUAAAGGCGCACCAAGGCGACGAUCCUUAGCUGGUCUGAGAGGAUGAUCAGCCACACUGGGACUGAGACACGGCCCAGACUCCUACGGGAGGAGGCAGUGAGGAAUUUUGGACAAUGGGCGAAAGCCUAAUCCAGCAAUGCCGCGUGAGUGAUCAAGGCCUUAGGGUUGUAAAGAUCUUUUACCCGGGAUGAUAAUGACAGUACCGGGGGAAUAAGCUCCGGCUAACUCCGUGCCAGCAGCCGCCGUAA